CGGGACGUAGCGCAGUUUGGUAGCGCGCAGCGUUCGGGACGCUGAGGUCGCGGGUUCAAAUCCCGCCGUCCCGA
rnacentral:tRNA from 2 species